GGGUCAGUAGGUUGGUCGUGCCACCGGUACGUACUGGUCUCACUGAUUCCUCCUUCCUGAAGAACCGUAAUGCCAUUAAUUUGGUGUUGCGGGGAAACAGGACUGUUACUUUGAAAAAAUUAGAGUGUUUAAAGCAAGCUAACGCUUGAAUACAUUAGCAUGGAAUAAUGAAAUAGGACGAUCGAUCCCAUUUUGUUGGUUCCUAGGAUUGACGUA
rnacentral:rRNA from 1 species